rnacentral:rRNA from 1 species
CCUACGGGAGGCAGCAGUAGGGAAUAUUGCUCAAUGGGGGAAACCCUGAAGCAGCAAAGCCGCGUGAAGGAUGAAGGUUCUCGGAUUGUAAACUCCUUUUGUUAGAGAAGAUAAUGACGGUAUCUAACGAAUAAGCACCGGCUAAAUCCGGGCCAGCAGCCGCGGUACUACGGAGGGUGCAGGCGUUAUUCGGAAUCACUGGGCGUAAAGAGCGCGUAGGCGGGUUAGCAAGUCAGAUGUGAAAUCCUAUGGCUUAACCAUAGAACUGCAUUUGAAACUGUUAUUCUAGAGUAUGGGAGAGGUAGGUGGAAUUCUUGGUGUAGGGGUAAAAUCCGUAGAGAUCAAGAGGAAUACUCAUUGCGAAGGCGACCUGCUAGAACAUAACUGACGCUGAUGCGCGAAAGCGUGGGGAGCAAACAGGAUUAGAUACCCCAGUAGUC